rnacentral:tRNA from 1 species
UAGAAGGAAGCUUGUUGGUUAGAGCACUUAGCUGUUAACUAAGGAUUUAUAGGAUCAAAACCUGUCUUUCUAG